GUGGGAAAUAUUGGACAAUGGGGGGAACCCUGAUCCAGCCAUGCCGCGUGUGUGAAGAAGGCCUUUUGGUUGUAAAGCACUUUAAGCGAGGAGGAGGCUACCGAGAUUAAUACUCUUGGAUAGUGGACGUUACUCGCAGAAUAAGCACCGGCUAACUCUGUGCCAGCAGCCGCGGUAAUACAGAGGGUGCAAGCGUUAAUCGGAUUUACUGGGCGUAAAGCGCGCGUAGGUGGCCAAUUAAGUCAAAUGUGAAAUCCCCGAGCUUAACUUGGGAAUUGCAUUCGAUACUGGUUGGCUAGAGUAUGGGAGAGGAUGGUAGAAUUCCAGGUGUAGCGGUGAAAUGCGUAGAGAUCUGGAGGAAUACCGAUGGCGAAGGCAGCCAUCUGGCCUAAUACUGACACUGAGGUGCGAAAGCAUGGGGAGCAAACAGGAUUAGAAACCCCUGUAGUCC
rnacentral:rRNA from 1 species